CAGCCGCCACGGGAAUACAGAGGGUGCAAGCGUUAAUCGGAAUUACUGGGCGUAAAGCGCGCGUAGGUGGUUUGUUAAGUUGGAUGUGAAAUCCCCGGGCUCAACCUGGGAACUGCAUCCAAAACUGGCAGGCUAGAGUAGGGCAGAGGGUGGUGGAAUUUCCUGUGUAGCGGUGAAAUGCGUAGAUAUAGGAAGGAACACCAGUGGCGAAGGCGACCACCUGGGCUCAUACUGACACUGAGGUGCGAAAGCGUGGGGAGCAAACAGGAUUAGAUACCCCGGUAGUCCCUGUCUCUUAUAC
rnacentral:rRNA from 1 species